rnacentral:rRNA from 1 species
UACAGAGGGUGCGAGCGUUAAUCGGAAUUACUGGGCGUAAAGCGCACGUAGGUGGCGACGUAAGUCGGGUGUGAAAGCCCCGGGCUCAACCUGGGAAUUGCAUUCGAGACUGCAUUGCUGGAGUACGGAAGAGGAAGGCGGAAUUCCCGGUGUAGCGGUGAAAUGCGUAGAUAUCGGGAGGAAGGCCGGUGGCGAAGGCGGCGCUCUGGAACAUUUCUGACGCUGAGGCUCGAAAGCGUGGGGAGCAAACAGG